UACGGAGGGUGCGAGCGUUGUCCGGAAUCAUUGGGCGUAAAGGGCGCGUAGGUGGCCCGGUCAGUUCGUGGUGAAAGCGCGGGGCUCAACCCUGCGUCGGCCAUGAAUACUGCCGCGGCUGGAGCACUGUAGAGGCAGGCGGAAUUCCGGGUGUAGCGGUGGAAUGCGUAGAGAUCCGGAAGAACACCGGUGGCGAAGGCGGCCUGCUGGGCAGUUGCUGGACGCUGAGACGCGAAAGCGUGGGGAGCAAACAGG
rnacentral:rRNA from 1 species